UGAUAUGUCUGGUAUUCUUGGGUUCAUUCCUUACUCUGAACCAGUUUAUUAGACGUAUCGAC
rnacentral:pre_miRNA from 1 species